rnacentral:rRNA from 1 species
ACUCCUACGGGAGGCAGCAGUGGGGAAUAUUGCACAAUGGGGGAAACCCUGAUGCAGCCAUGCCGCGUGUAUGAAGAAGGCCUUCGGGUUGUAAAGUACUUUCAGCAGUGAGGAAGGUGGGUAUGUUAAUAGCAUACACAUUUGACGUUAGCUGCAGAAGAAGCACCGGCUAACUCCGUGCCAGCAGCCGCGGUAAUACGGAGGGUGCGAGCGUUAUCCGGAUUUAUUGGGUUUAAAGGGUCCGUAGGCGGAUUAAUAAGUCAGUGGUGAAAUCCCAUCGCUUAACGAUGGAACUGCCAUUGAUACUGUUAGUCUUGAAUGAGGGUGCAGUGGUUGGAAUGUGUAGUGUAGCGGUGAAAUGCAUAGAUAUUACACAGAACACCGAUUGCGAAGGCAGAUCACUAACCCUAAAUUGACGCUGAGGGACGAAAGCGUGGGGAGCGAACAGGAUUAGAUACCCUGUAGACUGUC